GAUUGUGUUUUUUUUUUUUU
rnacentral:miRNA from 1 species